rnacentral:misc_RNA from 1 species
UACGGAGGGGGCUAGCGUUGUUCGGAAUUACUGGGCGUAAAGCGCGCGUAGGCGGAUUGUUAAGUCAGGGGUGAAAUCCCGAGGCUCAACCUCGGAACUGCCUUUGAUACUGGCGAUCUCGAGUCCGGGAGAGGUGAGUGGAAUUCCUGGUGAAGAGGUGAAAUUCGUAGAUAUUAGGAAGAACACCAGUGGCGAAGGCGGCUCACUGGCCCGGUACUGACGCUGAGGCGCGAAAGCGUGGGGAGCAAACAGG